GUUGGGUCUGCGGCCCUGGCGGCGUGCAGGGAACGCCGUGGCUCGGGUGGUGCCCCCAACGGCUGCAGACGGCUCCUCCCCACUGCACACACCUGUCCCGGGAGCUGUCAGGUAGACAGACAUACAGCCCGGAAGAGGGUCCCCAGGCUCAGCACUCCGCGCCGGGACAGGCCAGACAGGGCGACACUGGAGCCUCUGCCUGUUUCAGAACCGCAGGUGGCUGUCCCCCCGCCCGCCUGGGGGCCCUGAGCCGGGAACCCCCGGCUCCUCUCCCUCCGUCCCCAUCGGCCACGGACUCAACUGUGUCCCCCCAAAACUCACGCUUUGAUGCCUAACUCCCAGGGUAACCAUUUGGAGACGGGCCUUUGGGAAGGUAAUUCAAGUUGACUGAGGAAACGGGCGGGGCCCCGACCCAGGAGGAUUAGUGUCCUUGUAGGAAGAGACCCUAGAGAGCACCGAGCACCCCCCAAGCACGCACAAAGGCCGGGCGGGGACACGUGGCUGCCUCACGGCCACAUGCCCUCACACUCACUUUUACACACACGUGCACACAUUUCUGUGAGGCUGCUGUUUCUCCAAACUGUUCCACACAGGUGGCCGUCGGCUGGGCCCCGCCUGCUGGCUGUGGCUGACACUUCACCUGACGUGGCCGCCAUGAGACCACUGUGUCCGGUGGCCCCUGGCCGCGGCACCCCACCCCUCCUCCCCUGACAGUGGGCGUCCAGACCACCUGUCCCCCGCAGCCUGAAGGACGGCGGCCACGGCACAGCUGCCCUCCUCCCCUCCCUCUCUGCCCUUGUAGGUGCCUGGCCCCCAUGGGGACAGCCCCAUAAACCACCCCGUGUCCACAGUCACAUCUGGGAGCCACGGUUUCUGCGGGAGCCCCUGCUGAGCUGGAGGGGACGCCUGGGGACACCUGUCACCGUGUGAGGCAGGGGAGGAGCAUGCACACCCCCUCGUCACCUGAGAGCCACCCUCCAGGCCUUGGCUGCCCACAGCCUGCCUCUCACAUCCAGCUCCUUGGCCGGCAUCCGGGUCCAUCCCAAGCUGGCCCCGACUGUCCACUUGUCCCCACACGGGGCUCAGUCCCCUACCCACCACACCCAGAGGCUCACAAAAAGCCUCUCCAAUGAGACCAUGUUCCUUCUGAACGUGGUGGCACUAUCAUCCACAGGACCCUUGAUGUGACCGGUGAUGUGCCGGACCCAUCCGGGUAGAUGAUGCUUCCCGCCCGCCCCAGCUUGCUGCCCUGGAACCAGGAAACGCUCAAAUGUCCCGAGUUCCCACCAGGGGAAACAGACAGUUUAAAAAUUAAACACGGCCUUUGAUCUAUGUACCCACACCUCUGAUCGCCCCUGGCCUUGUGCACGAAUAUUCAGCCUUGACCCAGGAAUUCUGUGAAUCCGGAAGGAAGGGGGGCACAGGUUGGGCCUCCCUCACCCCACAUCCCACCGGAUGGUCCAGGAGGCGGCCUGGGGAUGCCAUCCUUGGUGCUUCACCUGCUCCCUGGAGACACGUGCACCAAUCGGGCUUCCCCCCUUCUGCUACUGGGAUGCCAGGGGCGCCUCUGGCUUCUGAGAAGGUGUUUGAUUUCAGCCUGGCUGCUGGGGGGCCACCGGUUUUGCAAUGGCAGGAAAGAAUCAAGAGCAUGAGCCUGUCUGAAACGUCUCCCGAGAAGAAGAAGAAAAAAAAAAAAAAACAGGUAAGAGAAAAGUGGACAAUGGCGGCUCAAACAUGUGCCUAAAACCGUUCAACCCACUAACAGAUGGAAAACCAUGUCUACACUAAGGAGCCUUUCCAACCCGUAGUUUAUUUAACUGUGCUUUUUAAGGGACUCUUAAUCAGAAAGGUGAUUUCAAAAUCAAAUAUGCUUUGGAAAGUACUUUUGUUCCUAGAGUAAAGUAUAAAUAUGAUUUACCCUAUUCUGUUCUCAACAAAUAUUAUUUUUCAUCUGCCAACAGACUCCUCAUAAGAACACGGGGCACGAGGUCAGCGCUGAUGUGCCGACACACACACAGAGCACGAGGUUCAGAUUGGUGCCUGUGGGCAUCAGCCUACUGACUCACUUUUGCCGGAAGCAUGGCGGGCACGUGUCAAAGAUCAGAAAUGACUUGAGAUCUGCAGCCAGAAGGACAGCUUGAAAUUUCCCAGAUCAAAUCAGCGAACCGCUCUUUACAGCAAAGUAUGAGAACUCAGGCCUGAGCCCGUGAUCACGAGUGUCAGCACAGGCACGUGACGGAGGGAUUCAGGGCCCCCGAAGACACACACAAAGAGCAUGAAAUGGAACGCGUUCAAACGAUACGGGCGAUUCUCAUCAUUCAUGGAACUCAGGCAUCACAAAGUCGCAGCAAUCACUGAAUUAGCAAACACUGGAACACCGUCCUGAGCAAACACGGGGUUUCGGUCCUACACGCCUCUAGUCAGUGUUUUGUCGACUCACCAGCACAUGACCGUCGUAACCAUGUGUCAGUGCCCGGCUCAAGUACAUUCACGUUCUUGUGCAGCCAUCACUCCAGCCUCCCAGCCCCCACCACUCUACAGCUGUCUCUGUGAGCUCGACGAGUCUAGGGACCUCGUGUAAGUGGGAUCCUAUAGCAUCUGUCCUGUUGGGACUGGCUGACCCCUCGGCAGAGGUCGUCAAGGUCCAUCUAUGUGGCGGGUAUCCGAAUCUCCUUCCCUUCUAAGACCGAACAAUAUUCUACUGUGCGGGUGGACCACGUUUUGUUUAUCCCUUCAUCCACUGAUGGACACUUGGGUUGCUCCCGCCUUUCGGAGAGCGUGAGCAGUCCCACCACGUACAUGGAUGUGCACAUAUCUCCUCAGGACCCUGCUUCCGAUUCUUUUGCGGAAGUGGAAUCGCUCGUUCAGUGGGCUUUUUGCUGUGUUUGGGGUUCACAGAAAUAAGCAUCUACAUGGAACUUCGCUUCUUGGGCCAGGCCACCGGAGCCAGCUCAGCUCAUAGAAGGAGCUAGUCAUAUGCGUGUCGGGCAUCUAGGUGGGGAGUCUGCACACACACGUUCAUUUUAAAUGGUCACUAAUGACCCUUUACCCACGCGUAACCUGUUUGGCAAAAAACAAAACAAAACAAAACAAAAAACUACCUUAUUUGUUUGAAGUGGAAAUAAA